CCCACCCCUCCCCGCCCCUCCACCUUCCCAGCCCGCCUCUUGCCUCCGCCCCGCUCCGGGCGCUCGAAGCCCCGCCCCGGGCACGUACAGCUGCGAGACAAGCACGUACCAUUUAAAUAAUGGCGCCAAGCCGCGAGGUUUGACAGUUACUGCCCCCACGGCCUCCCAGCCCCCCAUCCUCGCUCGGCCAGCCCUCCCGGGAAGGGCCGGAGCGAGAGGGAUGCUGGCCUGAGCCCCAUCUCUCCGCAGUCCGCGGAAUGCUUCUGCAUAGCUUCGACGCCUACGGUCACAGAAACAAUACUGUCCCCCAACCCCCAAUAAGCAAGGCUUUUCAGCACCUGCUACGUGCAAGGCUACCAGUGGGCAAAAAAUAGAAAUCCGUUACAUUUAAGGGACCCUUUAAUGAAGCAUUUCUAGGAUUAUUGGCUCAGAGCCUCCUCUUGAUAACGCGGUGAGAUAGGCAAGGAAAAGAUAAUUCCCAUGGUAUAGAUUCAGAAAUGAAAGCUCAGAGAGAAAAAGCGACUUGCAUAUAAACAAGGAUUUAACGAGGUGGCUGGCGUAAGACAAAACUGUGAAGGUGGAGACAUGGAGACAGCACAAUAGAAAGAACACUGAUCGGUUAACACUGGGAUACUUCAGGAAGAGGUGCUUUCCACCAUGAUGGUGUUUCCUGAGGUCUUCCCUGCCACGUGGGACUAGUGUUACUCUCUCGCCCAAGUUGGAGUGCAGUGGCAAGAUCUUGGCUCACCAUAACCUCUGUCACCUGAGUUCAAGCAAUUCUCCUGCGUCAGCCUCCUGAGGAGCUGGAAUUACAGGCGCUCAACACCACACCUAACUAAUUUUUUUAUGUAUUUUUAGUAGAGGUAGGGUUUCACCAUGUUGGCCAGGCUGGUCUCGAACUCCUGAUUUCGUGAUCCACCCACCUCGGCCUCCCAAAGUGUUGAGAUUACAGGCGUGAGUUACUGCGCCUGGCCUGAAGUAACUAUCUUAAUAUGUUUGCAGAAUUAAAGAAAAUCAUAGACAAACAAUUAAGGGAAACCAGGAAAACUAUAUAUGAAAAAAAGAAAAUAUCAAUAUACAGAAAUUAUCUAAAAAGAACCCAGUGAAAUUCUGAAACCGAAAUGUAUGAUAACUAAAAUGAAAAAUUCAUCAAGGGGAUUCAAGAACAGAACAGGCAGAAGAAAAAAACUAGUAAAAUUGAAUAUUGGACAAUUAAAAUUAUCCAGUCUGAGGAACAAAAAGGAAAAAAAUGAAGAAAAGUGAAAAGAGCCAAAGGGUCUCCUAUAGGAGACCAUCACGGACCAACAAUUCAUUAUGGGGGUUGUGGAAUUAAAAAAAGAAAAGAAGGCACAUAAAGAAUAUUUGAAGAAAUAAUAGCCAGAUGCUUUCCAAAUUUGAUGAACUACAAGAAUCUACACAUCCAAGGAGCUCAGUAAACUCCAAGUAGAAUAAACUCAUAGAGAUGCGUGAAAUAUAGUGUAGUUGAACUAUCAAAAGUCCAACAGAAAGAGAAUCGUGAAAGCAGCAAGGGAAAAACAAUUUAUCAUAUACAAUAUUCUCAAUAAGAUUAACAGCUGAUUUCUUGUCAGAAAUCAGAGUCUAGAAAGCAGCAGGAUGACAUGUAAAGUGCUAAAAGAAAAAAAAAACCUGCCAAACAAGAAUUCCAUAUCCAGCAAACCUAUCCUUUAAGAGUGAAGUCGAAAUUAAGACAUUUCAAGGUAAAAACUAAGAAAGUUUGUUACUAAUAAACCUGCCCUAUAAGAAACGUUAAAGAGAAUGUUUUGAGCUAAAAUAAAAGAACACUAGACAGUAAUCCAAAUUCAUGUGAAGAAAUAAGGAACACUGGUAAAGGUAACUACCUAGGUAAAUAUAAAAAUCAAUAUUAUUUUACUUUUGGUUUGUAUCUAUUUUUUCCUGUUUGAUUUUAAAGGAAAAUGUAUGAAUAUUUAUAAAUUUAUGUUAAUGGGCACACAAUUUAUAAAGAUGCAAUGUGUGACAAUAACAAUAUAAAGAGAGUACAGAGAUGUAUAAAGGCAGAAUAUUUGUAUGUUAUUAAAAUUUA